AUUGAACGCUGGCGGCAGGCUUAACACAUGCAAGUCGAGCGGGGAAAGGUAGCUUGCUACCUGACCUAGCGGCGGACGGGUGAGUAAUGCUUAGGAAUCUGCCUAUUAGUGGGGGACAACAUCUCGAAAGGGAUGCUAAUACCGCAUACGUCCUACGGGAGAAAGCAGGGGACCUUCGGGCCUUGCGCUAAUAGAUGAGCCUAAGUCGGAUUAGCUAGUUGGUGGGGUAAAGGCCUACCAAGGCGACGAUCUGUAGCGGGUCUGAGAGGAUGAUCCGCCACACUGGGACUGAGACACGGCCCAGACUCCUACGGGAGGCAGCAGUGGGGAAUAUUGGACAAGGGGGGGAACCCUGAUCCAGCCAUGCCGCGUGUGUGAAGAAGGCCUUUUGGUUGUAAAGCACUUUAAGCGAGGAGGAGGCUACCGAGAUUAAUACUCUUGGAUAGUGGACGUUACUCGCAGAAUAAGCACCGGCUAACUCUGUG
rnacentral:rRNA from 1 species